AUUGAACGCUGGCGGCAGGCCUAACACAUGCAAGUCGAGCGGAGCGGCGGACGGGGGAGUAAUGCCUAGGAAUCUGCCUGGUAGUGUGGGAUAACGUCCGGAACCGGGCGCUAAUACCGCAUCCUAACAGAUGAGCCUAGGUCGGAUUAGCGAGUUGGUGGGGUCAAGGCCUACGAAGGCGCCGAUCCGGAACUGGUCUGAGAGGAUGAUCAGUCACACUGGAACUGAGACACGGUCCAGACUCUUACGGGAGGCAGCAGUGGGGAAUAUUGGACAAUGGGCGAAAGCCUGAUCCAGCCAUGCCGCGUGUGUGAAGAAGGUCUUCGGAUUGUAAAGCACUUUAAGUUGGGAGGCGUUACCAACAGAAUAAGCACCGGCUAACUUCGUGCCAGCAGCCGCGGUAAUAC
rnacentral:rRNA from 1 species